rnacentral:rRNA from 1 species
AAUGAACGCUGGCGGCAGGCCUAACACAUGCAAGUCGAACGGGCACUUUCGGGUGCUAGUGGCGGACGGGUGAGUAACGCGUGGGAACAUACCCUAUGGUUCGGAAUAGCCCCGGGAAACUGGGAGUAAUACCGGAUACGCCCUUCGGGGGAAAGAUUUAUCGCCAAAGGAUUGGCCCGCGUUGGAUUAGGUAGUUGGUGGGGUAAUGGCCUACCAAGCCGACGAUCCAUAGCUGGUUUGAGAGGAUGAUCAGCCACACUGGGACUGAGACACGGCCCAGACUCCUACGGGAGGCAG